rnacentral:rRNA from 1 species
GAUGAACGCUGGCGGCGUGCUUAACACAUGCAAGUCGAACGAUGAAGCCCAGCUUGCUGGGUGGAUUAGUGACGAACGGGUGAGUAACACGUGAGUAACCUGCCCUUGACUCUGGGAUAAGCCUGGGAAACUGGGUCUAAUACUGGAUAUGACUUCUCAUCGCAUGGUGGGGGGUGGACAGAUUUAUUGGUCUUGGAUGGACUCGCGGCCUAUCAGCUUGUUGGUGAGGUAAUGGCUCACCAAGGCGACGACGGGUAGCCGGCCUGAGAGGGUGACCGGCCACACUGGGACUGAGACACGGCCCAGACUCCUACGGGAGGCAGCAGUGGGGAAUAGUGCACAAUGGGCGCAAGCCUGAUGCAGCGACGCCGCGUGAGGGAUGACGGCCUUCGGGUUGUAAACCUCUUUCAGUAGGGAAGAAGCGAGAGUGACGGUACCUGCAGAAGAAGCGCCGGCUAACUACGUG